GAUGAACGCUGGCGGCGUGCCUAAUACAUGCAAGUCGAGCGAACAGACGAGGAGCUUGCUCCUCUGACGUUAGCGGCGGACGGGUGAGUAACACGUGGAUAACCUACCUAUAAGACUGGGAUAACUUCGGGAAACCGGAGCUAAUACCGGAUAAUAUAUUGAACCGCAUGGUUCAAUAGUGAAAGACGGUUUUGCUGUCACUUAUAGAUGGAUCCGCGCCGCAUUAGCUAGUUGGUAAGGUAACGGCUUACCAAGGCAACGAUGCGUAGCCGACCUGAGAGGGUGAUCGGCCACACUGGAACUGAGACACGGCCCAGACUCCUACGGGAGGCAGCAGUAGGGAAUCUUCCGCAAUGGGCGAAAGCCUGACGGAGCAACGCCGCGUGAGUGAUGAAGGUCCUCGGAUCGUAAAACUCUGUUAUUAGGGAAGAACAAAUGUGUAAGUAACUAUGCACGUCUUGACGGUACCUAAUCAGAAAGCCACGGCUAACUACGUG
rnacentral:rRNA from 1 species